AGGCCCAAAGCGCUGUACAGUCACAGCCCCUUCACCCAUAAACACACACCGAUGGCACCGGCCUGGAGCCACCAGAACCAAUGAGGGGUUCAGUGUCCAGUCCAAGGACACCUCAAUGCCUGACCGUGCAGAGUGGGAACCAAACCUGCAAUCUUCUGACCAGAGGUUGGCCACUCUACUAGAGCUGGGUGAUAUAGCCAAUAUAUAAAAUCCCCUAACACAUAGCUUCUGUAUUAAAUAAUUUUUUUUUUUUUUUUGCCCCUUCUUUUCCAACCAAACCAGUGGUCAGGCCUGCAGUUAUUCAAAACAGACUUGCAGAUUGUAUAGAUAAAUAGAACAACUUUGAUUGCAUUUGAAUCUAACUUCAUUUAUAAACUUUAUUUAUAGAAAAAGAAUACACUAUGUAACCAGUACCAUCAAGGCAAGCUGAAACACCUGGCCAUGCUUUUAUUGUGGAGGGUCCCAAACACUAUUUAAGCUCCAAGUUGAUGGAUGCACUUCCUGCUUCCUGCUGCUUACUUCCUGCUUCCUGCCACAUGCUGCCUGCUGUCAGCUGUUACUACUACUGCUGUUGCUGCUGUGGUUAGCAUUUGACCAGAACCUGCAAACCUGAUAACUGGCAAACCUGCCAGUUCAAAUCUCCUUAGAUACCCAUUGAUCACCUCACCGGUCAGGUUUUUUUGUUGUGUGUAUUCUUCUGAUGUCCCAAAUCGAUGGCGAGCUACCCAACCUGAACCAAGCUGGACUAUAAACAUCUCAUAAAUCUGCAAUAGAGCCCAACGGAUUAUCACCACACUCAUUACAGUGAAAUUCUCAAGAUUCAUGAACUUGGACACUUCAAAUCUACCUUCAUUCCCCCACAACCUUCCUCCUCAGCCUUCGGUCCCUGUUUUGUGUUUUUGUAUUUGUAUUUUUUAUUAUUUAUUUCUUUUCUUCAAUACAAUCGAUUGAAAUCUUUA